rnacentral:lncRNA from 1 species
CCCGAACCCGAGGCGCAAAGAGCUGUUUCGGAGGGCUUUAUUUACCCUAACGCGGUGGGCAGACUUUUAGCUGUGGAUGAGGCUCGCUUUUGGCACGUAUUUUCCAUCUCCAGGGCAUCGCCACCGAUCGUUCCUUAGAACAUAGCCCAGAUAGGGUGCCUUGAAAGCAGCUUCAUCCCAGCAGUAGUUUUGUACCACCACGCUAUUGGACAAGCCAGAACCUUACAUCUGUGUCAGUGUGCAGCCCCCUUGCUAACCUUUUAAUAAUCGCCUUUUAAAUACUUGCUGCGGCCUAGAUGCUGGUUAGCAACUAAGGACACCUUCUGAGUUUAGAUUUAUGAUUUCGAAGUACAGCUUUCGACAGGGAUCGAAUUGUAUCUCUAACAGACAAGAUAUAAUAUCCUGUGCUGAGGCUUUUAGCAAAUUUCUGGAAGGCUGUUAGAUAAUUCGCUGCAUUUAAUUCAAAAGUCAGAACGAUGUGCAAGGAAUUGACUAUACUUCGAAGAAUAAUCAGAAGAGCCACAUGGUACAAAAUUUCAGACCACAAUGGCAGACAAAACCAUUCAGAUUUCAGAAUGGGCUUCUUCCUGGAAACAUGAAAUGUGAACUGUAAGAACUUCUCCAAAGGUUGCUACUAAAUUAUGUUAAAUAGGACACUAAAUUGUAGUCAUUUUUAUAU